AAGUGAGGAAAGUGGAGCCACUGGGGUACAUGAAGAUUUAACUCCUCAAACAGUGCUUCAUCCGGCUGAGGAAGUAGACAUGGAUGUAGAUAUGGAAGUUGAAGAUACAGAACCUUCAGAGCAACAGACAAAAUUGGAGUCCUCAAUCCUGGAACAAACACCUAAUGUUCCUCCUCCACCUGAUGAAGACUGGAUUCCUCCUCCACCUCCUGAUAAUGAACCUUUUCUGCCACCACCACCUGAUGAGCCUGUAGAUCAUACACAUGCUGUUCCUUCAAAUAUGGAAUCAGUUCAAUCUUUUCCUUACAACUUAG
rnacentral:misc_RNA from 1 species